rnacentral:lncRNA from 1 species
UAACCCUAGAGGCCUAGACCACAUGCCCUAGACGGCGAGGCGCACGGCUGGCGACGAGCGGACGCCAUCACACCAGGCGCUCAGCCGGCCAGGCAGUCUACUUGAGUACACGGCCCUCAACACCUCCUUCCUCUCAUUCGGCUUGGGCCGCCUCCGGUAAGAAACUAAGAAUCCUCCACCGAAAUUACGGCUAGCCGGCUAGGGAUCUCUCUUCUCUGAAUAGUGGGUCUGGGCUAGGGAAUGAAUUAUUCUUUCAGAAUUAAUUGGAAGGCAACUCACAUCACUGACCAUGUGUCCCCCCAUCUUGGAGAAGGGAAGAGAAAACAGAUUACUUUGUGCUGAUUACUGGCCGGGGCAUGUCCUCAGAAAGUUUUUGAUCCUCAUAUGGUUUUUCUCAUUUAUAAGUAUUUAUUUUCAGGUCGAUUAAUCUAUAUGAGAACUAGCAUAUUCAUCCUGCAGCACAUGCUAUUCAUGCAAUACUUUUUUACCUUCUCCUUGCUUCAUACUCAUAGAAUGCAUUUUUUACUUGAUGUGCAGUUUGUGGUCUUUCUGCUGUAAAGAGAAAGAAUUAUUUCACUAAUUUCGUUUGGUUAACCGCAAACUAAAUAUUGCCGGUGUCAACGACAUCUGGUGGGAGAGCUUUUUCAACAAUGAAGAAUAUUAAAAAUAAACUACUUAGCAAGAUCAAUAAUGAAUGGUUCAAUGUCUUGAUGAUAUGUUACACCGAGCGGGAGUCAUUCAAGCCAGUUGAUGAUAAGGUUAUUAUAUGAACAUUUACUGCAAUGAAGUCUCGGAAAGGGCAUUUGUCUCAUGAUUUUCUUUAGCAUAUUGUCGAUAUAUUCCAUCUUACCAUCUAUUUUCUUGCAAGCUUUCUAUUUUGAAUAUAUUCACAUCUCACAACUAAAUUUAUUUUAAUUACAAAUUCAUUUUUUAUCUUGUAGUGUCUUCUAGGACUUUGCCAACAUGACGAGUUUGCCUCUAUGCAAAGCUGGUUAUAUGUCUUGCUUUUGACAAUAAUGAACAAGUGAGAGAUGCUUUCAACCGUGAUGGAAGUAAUUGCACAAUGACAUCUGGUAUGAAUAGCUUUACUUUUGUUGGUGACAUGGCGAGUUUGCCUCUAUGCAAGGCUUGCUAUAUUUCCUCUAUUGUCAAGUCUCAA